ACAGCAAUAUCACGUUGAAACAUCGUUCUCAGCCGACCACCGAAGUUAAGCUACGCCGAGUCUGUUCAGUACCUACAUGGGUGACCGCUUGGAAAUACCAGGUGCUGUAAG